UACGGGGGGAGCAAACGUUGUUCGGAAUCACUGGGCGUAAAGGGUGCGUAGGUGGCUUGGUAAGUUCGAUGUGAAAUCUCCGGGCUUAACCCGGAAAUGGCAUUGAAUACUAUUGAGCUGGAGGUUUGGAGGGGGGACUGGAAUUCUCGGUGUAGCAGUGAAAUGCGUAGAUAUCGAGAGGAACACCAGUGGCGAAGGCGAGUCCCUGGACAACACCUGACACUGAGGCACGAAAGCUAGGGGAGCAAACAGG
rnacentral:rRNA from 1 species